rnacentral:rRNA from 1 species
GAUGAACGCUGGCGGCGUGCCUAAUACAUGCAAGUCGAGCGAACAGAUAAGGAGCUUGCUCCUUUGACGUUAGCGGCGGACGGGUGAGUAACACGUGGGUAACCUACCUAUAAGACUGGAAUAACUCCGGGAAACCGGGGCUAAUGCCGGAUAACAUGUUGAACCGCAUGGUUCUACAGUGAAAGGCGGCUUUGCUGUCACUUAUAGAUGGACCCGCGCCGUGUUAGCUAGUUGGUGAGGUAACGGCUCACCAAGGCAACGAUACGUAGCCGACCUGAGAGGGUGAUCGGCCACACUGGAACUGAGACACGGUCCAGACUCCUACGGGAGGCAGCAGUAGGGAAUCUUCCGCAAUGGGCGAAAGCCUGACGGAGCAACGCCGCGUGAGUGAUGAAGGUCUUCGGAUCGUAAAACUCUGUUAUUAGGGAAGAACAAAUGCGUAAGUAACUGUGCGCGUCUUGACGGUACCUAAUCAGAAAGCCACGGCUAACUACGUG